CCGGCGUCUGUAGAAACCAGUAUUUUACUGGACAUUUACCUUUUCCAUCCUGUAAUUACCUUUUAAAGUGGUUAAAUACUGUAAUGACGCCAACACACCGCAGAUGUGGUACCGUCAACAGGGUUUAUUAGAAAUAAUAGCGAGCUGCUAUUCCUUAGGCUGCAGCUCGCCCCUCUAACAAAUCGUUACACUCAACUGAAUAGCUUCACUGCUAACACACACUGAACUCUCCGCUCUUCUGUCAGAUCAGCAUCGGUCCUGGUCCUCCUGCUCCCCUGAUCCCUCGCCCACAUGACAGGUCCAUCACAUGUGAGGGGGAGUCAGCAGUCAGACAGGGGAAGCCCAUAACACUCUACACAUAACAGUGAUCACAAUGCAACUCAUAACCAAUACACAUAACCAUAUGGAGCCCAGCAGAAGUAAAAUACAGAAUCGUUAAAAUACUACGGUGGCCGACAGGUGCAAACGCACAGCAAACACGAAAAAAACAAAUACAACAAAGAAAAGACGCAAACAAAAAAUACAUGUAAAAAAUAUAUAAAAAUAAGUGUUCCAGACCACUAGAGCUUUGUGUCCGACUUCAGGGUCUGCAUCCUUUCAAGCUUAUGGGCUUGAGAAACGACCCGGUCUACGGAAGUGGGGUCCUGCGAAGGCAGAGCAUUGCAGAGAGAAGCUGUAGCCUUCAGCUAGCUGCCUAGCCUCCACCUCGGGUUAUGUUGCUUAGCAGCCGUGACACAACAUGAUUUAAACAAUGUUUGUAGGCGAGAAUGUAGAUGUACAAAUCUCACAUUUCUGCUCGGUUCAUCAGUGCGUCACCUAAUUGCAAUAUCUGUCCGACGUUUUCUAAGACGUCUGCUCCCGCUGUAUUAACACCCAGCUCCCCUCGCCUGCUGCCAGCUGGUCCAGGUUUAGUAUACCACGGGAGAACACCUGACUCAUUUGGGCUUUCCCAAAUGACAGUUAAACACAUAUAUUAAUUCAGGUAACAUCUAGUUGUAAUAUUUUGGUUCACUCAAGUAUUUAAUAUAUUCCUGAGCAAAUCGGUUUGACUGAUUAAAGUUAAGUCUAAAAACAUAUUAGUACAGUACAGUCUUAGUUUUAUAACAUUAACACCUGACCCAGUGUAAGCUUCUUAGAAGUGCUACAAUUGAUGCGGUUCUAAAAUGUAUAAUCAGAACUUCACAUAACACAGAAGAGGAUGUGAUAAGUAACCGUCAGAACAGAAUUUUUAUUUAAAGGCACCAAACCACAUAUAUUUCCAGUAUAUUCAAACAUUCAAAACAAAUAACACAAACCAUUCCUCAGAGAACUGG